rnacentral:rRNA from 1 species
GUAAGGAAUAUUGGUCAAUGGGCGCAAGCCUGAACCAGCCAUGCCGCGUGCAGGAAGACGGCCCUAUGGGUUGUAAACUGCUUUUGUCAGGGAAUAAACCCCCGCUCGUGAGUGGGGCUGAAGGUACCUGAAGAAUAAGCAUCGGCUAACUCCGUGCCAGCAGCCGCGGUAAUACGGAGGAUGCAAGCGUUAUCCGGAUUCAUUGGGUUUAAAGGGUGCGCAGGCGGAUUGGUAAGUCAGGGGUGAAAUCCCACAGCUCAACUGUGGAACUGCCUUUGAUACUGUCAGUCUAGAGUAUAGUUGAAGUGGGCGGAAUGUGUCAUGUAGCGGUGAAAUGCUUAGAUAUGACACAGAACACCGAUCGCGAAGGCAGCUCGCUAAGCUAUAACUGACGCUCAUGCACGAAAGCGUGGGGAUCAAACAGGAUUAGAAACCCUAGUAGUCC